rnacentral:lncRNA from 1 species
AUUUAAACUUAAAUUUUAAAUUUUAAAUUUAUAAAUAUGCAAAUUUAUAAAUUAUUAAAUUUAAAAUUUAAAAUUUUAAUUAUAGAUUUUUUAAAUUUCAAAAUUUAAAGUUUAAAUGGUAUACUUUACAUUUUAAAAUUUAAAGUUUCAAAUUUCAAAUUUUAAAUUUCAAAUUCCAAAUUUCAAAUUUCAAAUUUAAAACAUAAAAUCUGAUUUAUUUUUAAAUUUUAAAUUUUAAAUUUUAAUUUUAUAUUUUGAAUUUUGAAUUUUAAUUUUUAAAAUUUUAUUUUUAAAUUUUGAAUUUUGAAUUUUGAAUUUUGAAUUUUAAAAUUUUAAAAAUUUAAAUGUUAUAAAUCCAGUGGAAUUGUAUGAUAUGUAUCCAAACAGCUUAAAAAUAAAGCUGUGGAAUUUUUUUGUAGUUACAGGAUUCCGUAUUUCAUUUAGACCAAAACCAUGGAAUAAAAAUUCCAUGGAGUUUUUUAACUAUGCAUCCAAACAGGGCCUUACUGUU